UUUUUUUUUUCGGGAGCCAAACUAGGGCUUACAAGUUCGCCGUGCCCCUGGGGACCAGUGCGAGGUUGUGCGGCAUGGAGGGUGCAGACACUCCCACAGCGCAGAUUUUGCUAUCAGCACAGAGAGUUUCUGGUGUGGCUUAUGCAAAAGAGACAAUACAGCGUGUUUCUCUGCUCCCGAGGGGAGGUCACGGCAGGAGUUCCCUGAGUUGACACGUAUGAACCAUAAAGUCAGUUUGGACCGAAAAGCAGUCGGACCCACACGGACAUCAGUCCAGACUGAAAUCCGGUUCAGACAGCACACGCAACAUGUUCAAGCUUGCACGGAGGCCUUUCAGUCAAUAUAAGAAGAUGGUUAAGGCGAGAGAUUGCUAUUCUGUCUUUUACAUCGGUACAAAGGGAGGACUAAAUGCCAAAAAAGAGAAAAGUUUUUUAAAAAAAUGACGCUUUAAAACAGUUCAAGUAUCUUUGUG
ensembl:lncRNA